GCAUAUCAAUAAGCGGAGGAUAAAAGAAACCCAACAGGGGAUUGCCUCAGUAACGGCGAGUGAAGCGGCAACAGCUCAAAUUUGAAAUCUGGAGCCCUCGGCUUCCGAGUUGUAAUUUGAAGAGGAUGUUUCGGUUGUGGCCUGGGCCUAAGUUCCUUGGAACAGGACGUCAUGGAGGGUGAGAAUCCCGUACAUGGCUGCAGGCUUACUUCCAUGUGAAACUCCUUCGAAGAGUCGAGUUGUUUGGGAAUGCAGCUCAAAAUGGGUGGUAAAUUUCAUCUAAAGCUAAAUAUUGGCGGGAGACCGAUAGCGCACAAGUAGAGUGAUCGAAAGAUGAAAAGCACUUUGAAAAGAGAGUUAAACAGCACGUGAAAUUGUUGAAAGGGAAGCGCUUGCGAUCAGACUCGCUCUCGGUUGAUCAACGUUCCUUCUGGUGCGUGCACUCUGCCGUUGGCGGGCCAGCAUCGGUUGGGGCGGCGGGACAAAGGCAGCGGGAAUGUGGCUCCUCUCGGGGAGUGUUAUAGCCCGUUGUGUAAUGCCGCCAGCCCCGACCGAGGUCCGCGGUUCUGCCUAGGAUGCUGGCUUAAUGGUCGUAAGCGACCCGUCUUGAAACACGGACCAAGGAGUCUAACAUCUAUGCGAGUCUUUGGGUGUCAAACCCAUGGGCGGAAUGAAAGUGAACGGAGGUGGGAGUCCUCGGAUGCACCAUCGACCGAUCCUGAUGUUCUCGGAUGGAUUUGAGUAUGAGCAUAGCUGUUGGGACCCGAAAGAUGGUGAACUAUGCCUGAAAUAGGGUGAAGCCAGAGGGAAACUCUGGUGGAGGCUCGCAGCGGGUUCUGACGUGCAAAUCGAUCGUCAAAUUUGGGGUAUAGAGGCGAAAGACUAAUCGAACCCUCUAGUAGGCUGGGU
rnacentral:rRNA from 1 species